GACGAACGCUGGCGGCGUGCCUAAUACAUGCAAGUGGGGACGCAAGGAAACACACUGUGCUUGCACACCGUGUUCUCUUGAGUCGCGAACCGGGUGAGUAACGCGUAGGUUACCCUGCCUAUUAGCGGGGGAUAACUUUUGGAAACGAUAGCUAAUACCGCAUAAUAUUAAUUAUUGCAUGAUAAUUGAUUGAAAGAUGCAAGCGCAUCACUAGUAGAUGGACCUGCGUUGUAUUAGCUAGUUGGUAAGGUAAGAGCUUACCAAGGCGACGAUACAUAGCCGACCUGAGAGGGUGAUCGGCCACACUGGGACUGAGACACGGCCCAGACUCCUACGGGAGGCAGCAGUAGGGAAUCUUCGGCAAUGGACGAAAGUCUGACCGAGCAACGCCGCGUGAGUGAAGAAGGUUUUCGGAUCGUAAAACACUGUUGUAAGUCAAGAACGUGUGUGAGAGUGGAA
rnacentral:rRNA from 1 species